rnacentral:rRNA from 1 species
AUUGAACGCUGGCGGCAGGCCUAACACAUGCAAGUCGAACGAGUAGCGGACGGGUGAGUAAUGUCUGGGAAACUGCCUAAUGGAGGGGGAUAACUACUGGAAGCGGUAGCUAAUACCGCAUACCAUCAGAUGUGCCCAUAUGGGAUUGGCUAGUUGGUGGGGUAACGGCUCACCAAGGCGACGAUCCCUAGCUGGGCGGAGAGGAUGACCAGCCACACUGGAACUGAGACACGGUCCAGACUCGUACGUGAGGCAGCAGUGGGGAAUAUGGCACAAUGGGCGAAAGCCUGAUGCAGCCAUGCCGCGUGUAUGAAGAAGUCCUUCGGGUUGUAAAGUACUUUCAGCGGGGAGGCGUUACCCGCAGAAGAAGCCCCGGCUAACUCCGUGCCAGCAGACGCGGUAAUAC